AUGGCGGCCGCCGCGCUCAGGGCCCAGCUCAACGCCCACAUCGCCUCCAUGUACGCCACGGGUAGUGUGGACGCGUAUUUCCAGCAGCUGCAGUCGAUGGAUGAGGGCAGUGCAACCACGGGCUUCGUCGCCGAGGUCAUCAACAUCUUCCUCAACGACGCCGACAGGAUCCUCAACGACAUCGCCGGCCUGCUGAACCAGCCCGAGGUGGACUUCUACAAGGUGGACGCCCUGGUGCAUCAGCUCAUUGGGAGCAGCUCCACUGUUGGUGCUAAGAAAGUGAAACUCGCCUGCAUGCAAUUUCGUCAGUCCUAUGUGGCAAAAAGCAAAGAAAGGUGUCUCAUGGCAUUGGCUCUUCUUAGGAAUGAGUUCUGUGAUGUGCGCAACCAGCUCCAGAUCAUGAUGCAGCUGGAGCGGCAGAUUGCGGCCUCGAGUCCUAUGUAG
rnacentral:rRNA from 1 species